ACCUGCGGAAGGAUCAUUACAGUAAUUGGGUUGUUGCUCAAAGUAGCACGCCCUCCAUAUAUACACACACCCUGUGCACUCUAUCUAUUACAGCCUGUCUCUAAUGCAUGUCGUUGAUAAUUCUACGGAAUAGAAUACAACUUUCAACAACGGAUCUCUUGGCUUUCGCAUCGAUGAAGGACGCCGCGAAAGUGCGAAACGUAAUGUGAAUUGCAGAAUUCAGUGAAUCAUCGAAUCUUUGAACGCAUCUUGCGCUCCUUGGUAUUCCGAGGAGCAUGCCUGUUUGAGUGUCGUGAAUCUCUCUCAAUCCCACUUCUGUGGGCUUGGAUUUGGAUGCUUGCUGUGGGGGGUUUGACCUCUUUCGGCUCGUCUUGAAAUUCAUCAGCUGGUCCGCCUAUGAGUUUGGUGGUGUGAUAAGAAACACUUGUAGCGCCAUUUCUAAACUCGGGGAGUUGACUGCUUUCAAUUUCAUUUUGUUUGACCUCAAAUCAGGUAGGACUACCCGCUGAACUUAAGCAUAUCAUA
rnacentral:rRNA from 1 species